rnacentral:rRNA from 1 species
AAACCGACCUGGCUUACGCCGGUCUAAACUCAGAUCAUGUAAAAUUUUAAAGGUCGAACAGACCUAAUUUAUCAGCUUCUACACCAACAAUUAAUUUUAAUCCAACAUCGAGGUCGCAAACUUUUUUUCCGAUAAGAACUYUAAAAAAAAUUACGCUGUUAUCCCUAAGGUAAUUUAUUCUUUUAAUCUAAAUAUUAGGAUCAUAAAUUUAUAAAUAAAUAUUCCAAUGAAAAAAAAGUUUAACUAAUUUUUUAAUCACCCCAACAAAAUACACCUACAUAAUUUAAAUAAAAUAUUCUAAAUAUUUUAAAUCAUUUAAUUUGUAUGAAACUCUAUAGGGUCUUCUCGUCUUUUAUAUAAAUUUAAGCUUUUUAACUUAAAAAUAAAAUUCUAUUAAAUUUUUACAGAGACAGUUAAUUUUUCAUUAAACCCUUCAUUCAAGCUUUCAAUUAAAAAACUAGUGAUUAUGCUACCUUUGCACAGUCAAAAUACCGCGGCCAUUCAACUAAUUCAGUGGGCAGGCUCGACCUAAAAUUAUAAUCAACAGGCCAUGUUUUUAAUAAAC